AUUGAACGCUGGCGGCAUGCCUUACACAUGCAAGUCGAACGGUAACAGGUCUUCGGAUGCUGACGAGUGGCGAACGGGUGAGUAAUACAUCGGAACGUGCCCGAGAGUGGGGGAUAACGGAGCGAAAGCUUUGCUAAUACCGCAUACGAUCUACGGAUGAAAGCAGGGGACCGCAAGGCCUUGCGCGGACGGAGCGGCCGAUGGCAGAUUAGGUAGUUGGUGGGAUAAAAGCUUACCAAGCCGACGAUCUGUAGCUGGUCUGAGAGGACGACCAGCCACACUGGGACUGAGACACGGCCCAGACUCCUACGGGAGGCAGCAGUGGGGAAUUUUGGACAAUGGGCGAAAGCCUGAUCCAGCCAUGCCGCGUGCAGGAUGAAGGCCUUCGGGUUGUAAACUGCUUUUGUACGGAAUGAAAAGCCUCUUUCUAAUAAAGAGAGGUCAUGACGGUACCGUAAGAAUAAGCACCGGCUAACUACGUGCCAGCCGCCGCUGUAACAC
rnacentral:rRNA from 1 species